GAAUAUAACUAACUUCCUUCCUUCCUGCCUUCCUCCCUCCCUGCCUUCCCUUCCUUCCUGCCUUCCUUCUUCCUUCCUCCCUUUUUUCUUUUCUCCCUUCCUUCCUUCUUAAUAUGUUUUUGGCCUUUUCUUUAUAUAUGUGGCCUAGCAAUAUCCUGUGUUUGGAAAAGUAUAAACCUAAGGCAUCACCUUUACAGAAAAUAUCUUCCACGGAAACAUCUAAAGGCAAAAAUCCUUCAAAUUCAAAUUUAUCCAAUCAUUUCUUCUGCUUACUACCAUCCUAAAUCAUUUUUCUUUAGUAAGAUCUAUUAGUGUGAAGCUAUUAAGCUAUUAAUGUAUGUAUCAUAUUAAUGUAUUAAGACAUUAAGUGAGGAAGUAAAGUUGCAUUCACAGGCCUUGAACUUUUCCACAUCUCGAUUUUUACCCAUCAUCUCUGCAUAGUUCCCUAAGGCAGCCUUCAAAUGGUGAUGUUUCUUAUAAUCCAGAGUUCAGAAGUGGCUUCUCUUCAAUCUUUCUGUGGAAUUCUAAACCACGUGAUAAAGGAGCUGGUGGUGAGAAAUAAGGGAAGGCAGAGAUGAAAAGGAAUGGGCAGAAGCUUUUGGAGAGGAAUAACCACUGAGAUUGCCAUGAAGGAUUCAUUCUGACAUUCUUUUCAUGUAUUUAAGGCAAUCAAAAAAGAAUCCACAGCUAACCACGCCACAGAUCAGCCCUGGGGUUCAGAGGGAUCCUGACAGCUACUCCUCAAGAUCCUCUCUGUUGUGAUUCAUCCCCCCGGGGCCCUACAGUUUCUCCUUCCUGACUCUUACAUUUCUUUGGAUGGCAUCAUUAUUUACCUGUCUCCUCCCAUAGUUAGGUGCCAAGCACUGUGGAUUCUGCCUCUCAGUGUCCAGACACCCAUU
rnacentral:lncRNA from 1 species